GAUGAACGCUGGCGGCGUGCCUAAUACAUGCAAGUCGAGCGAACAGACGAGGAGCUUGCUCCUCUGACGUUAGCGGCGGACGGGUGAGUAACACGUGGAUAACCUACCUAUAAGACUGGGAUAACUUCGGGAAACCGGAGCUAAUACCGGAUAAUAUAUUGAACCGCAUGGUUCAAUAGUGAAAGACGGUUUUGCUGUCACUUAUAGAUGGAUCCGCGCCGCAUUAGCUAGUUGGUAAGGUAACGGCUUACCAAGGCAACGAUGCGUAGCCGACCUGAGAGGGAGAUCGGCCACACUGGAACUGAGACACGGUCCAGACUCCUACGGGAGGCAGCAGUAGGGAAUCUUCCGCGAUGGGCGAAAGCCUGACGUAGCAACGCCGCGUGAGUGAUGAAGGUCUUCGGAUCGUAAAACUCUGUUAUUAGGGAAGAACAAAUGUGUAAGUAACUAUGCACGUCUUGACGGUACCUAAUCAGAAAGCCACGGCUAACUACGUG
rnacentral:rRNA from 1 species